UCCCUGGUGGCUCAGACGGUAAAGCGUCUGCCUGCAGUGCAGGAAACCCGGGUUCGAUCCCUGGGUUGGGAA
rnacentral:tRNA from 1 species